ACACCGCCCACCCCCCAUCUCGUCCCCCUCCACUCCUCAAACUCAGAGAAAUCACCAUGAACCCUCCAAGCUUCCACCAAAAUCCACCGCCUGAGGGUGGCGGCGCCACCUCCAAUCCUGCCCAAAAACACACCCCUAAAUCUUCUCGACUCCCUCAGCCCAAAUCUGCAACCAUUGGCUUUCAAAUAUCAACCAAAAGUCUCGAAUUUUAGAGCGAUGUUCUGGGCGAAAACACAAACUCACCCAAAUUCGACCAAAUUAACACAAAAUCAUAUUCUCUCUUCCUUCAUCCCAAAUUUCUACGUGGUUUCCGUCAAAUAUCACCGGAACGUUGAAUCGUGAAUCAAGGGCCGUUGAAAUUCAAGUUCCUUUGAAGGUUUGUUUGCUCGAUUGACUUGGAGCUAAUGUUACAUGUUUAUUUCAGACGAAACGAACACGCAACAUUAACUCGAAGCCAUGUUCGAGGCCAGUCAAACCACGAAGGUGUCAAAAAUCAGUGAGUUCGUUCAUUUUAUUUAUUUUUUCCUAUUCAUUGUUUUAAGUAGUUUAUUUUUGUGACUUUGUUUUCAGUCAAUAGGAUUGCUAUGUGCUUUAGAUUAAAUAUUAGAUCAGUUAGUUGAAUUUCUGUUUAAGUUUAUGUUUGGAUUAAUCAUUUAGUAUGAUUGGGUCGCUUUGUCAUUUGAAUAAAUUUCUUGCAUAGCUAGGUUAGUUUAAAUUUAGUUUUGCUUCUACAUUUGUUGUUCUGAUUGAAUCUUUUUCACAUCACUAUGUUCUAAUUAGUUGUUUGAAUCGAUGAUUAGUUGAUUUCUAGAUCAGUAGUCAUUCAGUUAAUUAGGUUCAGGGUUGAUUACAGUUGAUUUUUUUUAUAAAAAUAAGUUAGUAAUUACAGGGGGCUUUGAAGGAUAGUUUAGGCAUAGAAAAAGGUAAUUUUAUUAGGUUUGGUAAUUUUAAUGCAGGGGUAAGGGUAGUAUAGUAAUUGUAUAGCUAAAAGAAACUUCCAAGGAAUCCCAAAUGGGGCUUUAGUGUAAGUUUUAAUAAUAUUUGUAGUAGUUACUUGGGGAACAAGUUUGAAGUAUGAGGGUUAAAAUGAAAAUAGGUAGGGACUUAUAGUGCAAAUAGAAGAUUAGAGGGCUGCCCUCUUUUGGCUUAUAAAAUGGCAUUCCCAUGCCUUUAUUCACAAGUUUUGCAAGCCUGAAAAUUCCCCAAAAAAAUUACUCCCCAAAGCUUCCAGAUCUGGAGUGAAAACUUCAGAUCUGAAAUUCUCUUAGAUUUUAAUUUGUUCAAAAGAAAAACAACAAAAAACUUCAAAAAAUCAAAAGAGGCCACUGUUUCAUUGGGAAUUGUAGGAUAAUUUGGAUGUUCUAUUAAUGGAUUCACCUCUCUUAGUUCUGUCAUUGAUUGCUAAAAGUUUAGAGAUCCAUUAGUUGAGUUUCGAGUAAGAUUACUGAGGUUCAAGGGGUUUACUGUUUAGCAGCAAUUUUUUUCUAAUUUUGGGUCCAAGUUCAAGAUAACCUGAGUGCAUUCAAGUUUGUUGUUCAAGUUACUGUUUCUAUUUUCUUUCAAAUUUCUCCUGAAUUAUCAAGUUCGACCUGUGGACUAUACUUUAUUUCUGUACUGAUAUUUGCUGCUGCUGUGCUUAUUGCCGCUUAUCUAUCCAUUUUCUAUUUUGUGUCAAAUUUCUGGUACAUGUUUCAGCCCGCUCAGUGUAAUAUCUUCUGUGGAAUGGAAAUGCAUUAGUUGUUUGAUCUUCACCAAGUCACCACUAUUUCAUUAGAUAAAUGGCAUCAUACUUAGUUGAUUAAAUUCAUUGUUUCAGAUCAUUUGUAUGAGACUGUUUAGAACACAAACUGUAUAAUGAAGUGAAUUGAUUGCAUGAGCGAGAGGAUUAGUAAUUAGCAAUUGUAUUCAGAUUAAUAUGUGCUCUUAAUGUACUGUAAGUGUAGCAUAAUGUGUUUCAUUUCUUUGAAAAGGUUCAUAUUUUUGCAUAUUCAUCUCUGUGAUCAACUGUUAAUUGAAUAACAUUGACUGGAUUUAACUGUAAUCAUUGGCUAAUACAAUCAGUGUCAAUUGGAUUUAAUUGUUGAAAACAAGUACUUAAAGUGAGUUUGACAUUCAAUGAGUUUGUGCAUUUGGUAUAAUAGUCAAGAGGUGUUGGAAAUUGGACUUUUGUGUCUCUACUGGGAUUUGAUUCCAAACUUUGGCAUCACAGCCGCCUGAUUUUCUCUUUACUCCCAUUGGGCCAUCUGUUUUCAUUUGAGCCCUACCAGUGCAUUUCGUGUUU
rnacentral:lncRNA from 1 species